GAUGAACGCUGGCGGCGUGCUUAAUACAUGCAAGUCGAACGGAGACAGUAGCAAUAUUGUCUUAGUGGCGAACGGGUGAGUAACGCGUUGGUGACCUGCCUCGAAGAGAGGGAUAACAGGCCGAAAGGAUUGCUAAUACCUCAUGUGGUCAUUUGGAUUAGAUGCCUUUUGACUAAACGGAUUUAUUCGCUUCGAGAGGGGCCUGCGUCCCAUCAGCGAGUUGGUAGGGUAAUGGCCUACCAAGGCGAUGACGGGUAGGGGACCUGAGAGGGUGGCCCCCCACAAUGGAACUGAAACACGGUCCAUACACCUACGGGUGGCAGCAGUAGGGAAUAUUGGUUAAUCUGGGAAACCGGGAACCAGCAACGCCGCGUGCACGAUGACGGCCUUCGGGUUGUAAAGUGCUUUUUGAAAGGAUGAGGAAGGACAGUACUUUCAGAAUAAGCUUCGGCUAACUACGUGCCAGCCGCCGCGGUAACAC
rnacentral:rRNA from 1 species